CAAUGGUCGUUAAUAAGACUUUGCUUGAUCCCGUAAGUGAUUAUGAGUCUGACAACACUAUAGCCCUUCUGACCUUCAGAAAUCCAGGUAUGUACUUAGGAUAUGAUGGUCUUACCCCAAAAUGAUGUUGACCUUGGAAUGUUGCUAACAAACAGGUUCAAGACGCUGUGGUAACAAUGCUCAUUAAUGGGGAUACUGCUGUUGUCCGGGUGAGUGAUGAUGUGGGCCUAAA